GUGGAUGUAGCUCAGUCGGUUAGAGCACCAGGUUGUGGCCCUGGGGGUCGAGGGUUCAAGUCCCUUCAUUCACCCCA
rnacentral:tRNA from 1 species